rnacentral:rRNA from 1 species
CUACGGGUUGCUGCAGUGGGGAAUAUUGCACAAUGGGGGGAACCCUGAUGCAGCAACGCCGCGUGGAGGAUGACGCAUUUCGGUGUGUAAACUCCUUUUAUAUGUCAAGAAAAUGACGGUAGCAUAUGAAUAAGCACCGGCUAACUCCGUGCCAGCAGCCGCGGUAAUACGGAGGGUGCAAGCGUUACUCGGAGUCACUGGGCGUAAAGGACGCGUAGGCGGGUUGGAAAGUCAGGUGUGAAAUCCUACAGCUUAACUGUAGAACUGCACUUGAAACUUCUAAUCUAGAGUAUGGGAGGGGGAGAUGGAAUUAGUGGUGUAGGGGUAAAAUCCGUAGAUAUCACUAGGAAUACCUAAAGCGAAGGCGAUCUCCUGGAACAUUACUGACGCUAAGGCGUGAAAGCGUGGGGAGCAAACAGGAUUAGAUACCCUCGUAGUC